rnacentral:rRNA from 1 species
GAAAGAUGGCUUUGGCUACCACUCUGGGAUGGACCUGCGGUGCAUUAGCUAGUUGGUAAGGUAACGGCUUACCAAGGCGAUGAUGCAUAGCCGAGUUGAGAGACUGAUCGGCCACAAUGGAACUGAGACACGGUCCAUACUCCUACGGGAGGCAGCAGUAGGGAAUCUUCCACAAUGGGCGCAAGCCUGAUGGAGCAACACCGCGUGAGUGAAGAAGGGUUUCGGCUCGUAAAGCUCUGUUGUUGGAGAAGAACGUGCGUGAGAGUAACUGUUCACGCAGUGACGGUAUCCAACCAGAAAGUCACGGCUAACUACGUGCCAGCAGCCGCGGUAAUACGUAGGUGGCAAGCGUUAUCCGGAUUUAUUGGGCGUAAAGCGAGCGCAGGCGGUUGCUUAGGUCUGAUGUGAAAGCCUUCGGCUUAACCGAAGAAGUGCAUCGGAAACCGGGCGACUUGAGUGCAGAAGAGGACAGUGGAACUCCAUGUGUAGCGGUGGAAUGCGUAGAUAUAUGGAAGAACAUCAGUGGCGAAGGCGGCUGUCUGGUCUGCAACUGACGCUGAGGCUCGAAAGCAUGGGUAGCGAACAGGAUUAGAUACCCUGGUAGUCCAUGCCGUAAACGAUGAGUGCUAGGUGUUGGAGGGUUUCCGCCCUUCA